rnacentral:rRNA from 1 species
GGACUACCAGGGUAUCUAAUCCCGUUCGAUCCCCUGGCUUUCGUGUGUGAGCGUCAGGAACGCGCCAGUGCACUGCCUUCGCCUUCGGUGUUCCCCAUGAUAUCAACGGAUUUCACCCCUCCACCAUGAGUUCCGUGCACCUCUCGCGCCCUCUAGUCGUACCGUUUCGCUCGCGGGCCCUAGGUUGAGCCUAGGGAUUUUACGAACGACUAAUACGACCGCCUGGACACCCUUUACGCCCAGUGAUUCCGGAUAAUGCUCGGGGCCUCUGUAUUACCGCGGCUGCUGGCAC